AAUUUGCGCCGCUUGCUUUUCUUCGUCGUUCGUUCGCUGGCUGGAAAAAAGACGCGUCCAUCUUUGCUUGUCGCCGCCGUAGAAAUUUCUCUAAACCUGGGUUUGUGCCGUUUGGAGUGAACUUUUCCGUGAAACUAUCGAGCGUUCCCGUUGCCGGAAGUCGGUGCUAUUGGUGGAUUCUUUUUCCGGUUUGGAUACCCUAUUGGAUAAGUGAUUUUUGAAAUUUGGAAGGAGCUAAAAACGCGCGGAUUUUUUUUGGGUACGUCCAGUACAUUGACUGCUGCCCCCAAACGAGAAAAAAGUCACCGAGGAUUUUUAGGUGUUUCUAGCGACGGCUCAGUGCCGGUCCUUACAGUUUGUGAAGCUUUGGAUUAUUUUCGGUGCGCUAUUACGGCCAAAUACCCGACAUUUUCCGGUUCUUCCGACAGGAUUACGAUUGUGUGAAAGGAUACCAUAGGAAAAUAAAAGUGAUAUAGGCUUAAGUUUAAUGCGGGACAUUGUGAAAUCGGCGAUAACAUAAAAGUACGCCGGCAACAGAACCUAAAACCCGAAAGGUAGAAAAAGUUACACCAAAUUCUGGUAGGACCUCCCCGGGACUCAACAGCAGCAGCUGGAGGAGGAGGAAAGGCAGCAACAGGUGCUGUUUGGGAGCCGGUGUUUGCAGAUACACACCGUCAAAAUACGCCAUCAUUCGCAACUGGACGCCACACCCUAACCUAACAUGUUGCCGAAACGUUCCCGUUUGGGCGAUGUGCGGGGCCCCAUCUCGAAUGGGCCCAUGCAGUCGCGACCCCUGGUUGCCCUCCUGGACGGUCGGGAUUGCUCGAUCGAGAUGCCGAUACUGAAGGACGUGGCCACGGUUGCAUUCUGCGAUGCCCAGAGUACCUCGGAAAUUCACGAAAAAGUAUUAAACGAAGCGGUCGGAGCACUGAUGUGGCACACAAUCAUCCUCACAAAAGAAGAUUUGGAAAAGUUCAAAGCCCUAAGGAUAAUCGUGCGAAUCGGCAGCGGGGUAGAUAACAUCGACGUGAAGGCGGCCGGCGAGCUGGGAAUCGCCGUCUGCAACGUGCCCGGCUACGGUGUCGAGGAAGUCGCCGAUACCACCAUGUGUCUAAUUCUGAACCUGUACCGAAGGACGUACUGGCUCGCCAACAUGGUUCGGGAAGGCAAAAAAUUCACAGGCCCGGAGCAGGUGCGGGACGCAGCUCAAGGUUGCGCCAGAAUACGGGGCGAUACGUUAGGUCUAGUUGGGCUCGGCAGAAUAGGCAGUGCGGUUGCGCUGCGGGCGAAAGUGUUCGGUUUCAAUGUGAGCUUCUACGACCCGUAUCUGCCCGACGGUAUCGAGAAAUCCCUCGGCCUGACUCGAGUAUACACCCUGCAGGAGCUGCUGUUCCACUCAGACUGCGUGUCGUUACAUUGUACAUUAAAUGAACAUAAUCAUCACUUAAUUAACGAGUUCACGAUUAAACAGAUGAGACCCGGUGCAUUUCUAGUGAACACAGCCCGCGGCGGACUGGUGGACGACGAAGCGUUGGCGCACGCACUCAAACAGGGCCGAAUCCGGGCAGCCGCCCUAGACGUUCAUGAGAAUGAGCCAUAUAAUGUAUUUCAGGGAGCCCUGAAGGACGCCCCCAAUCUGCUUUGUACGCCGCAUGCCGCAUUCUACAGCGAAGCUGCCACUACCGAACUGCGUGAGAUGGCAGCCAGUGAAAUCCGACGGGCAAUCAUCGGCAACAUUCCGGACUGUCUGCGGAAUUGCGUGAACAAGGAAUACUUCCUGCGGUCGUCGACAGGCGGCGGCGCCGGCGGUUACUCUGAAGAUAAAAAACUUAUAGCUGGUAUAAAUGGCGGCUAUUAUUCAGGUGGACUACAGCAAGCUCAUAGUACAACACCGCUCGAGACGCCGCACAGCGCCGGUUCCCACGGGCCCCCCAGCGGUCCUCCGCCACCGUCAGUCGCCGUACCACCUGCCUCCGCUGUUACAGCGCCACCACCACAAGCCAACGAUUACCGCUUCCUCGCCCUGCGAUAACUCCACCGGAUCAUCUUUAUACGCGUGACUGUCCGUGUUCAGCUUCCCGGUUCAGUCUCGUGCGAAGGUGCUCUCCUUGGGGAAGGAAGGUGCUAGAUAGAUAGUGUAGAGCAAUCGUCAACUUGCGGAUCGAAUCAAUUCGCCUGUAUGCUUCUGGCAUCUUUAGAACAAAUCUUUCGAAAACACCUCCGCGACCCCUCUUAGUGCCCCCGAUCCAAGUAAUCAUCAUGCGGUCAAGCCGGAACCAUCCGAAGUACAUUAGUUUCAUUAUUAUACCUAUUGUGUAUGACUUAUCAUUAGCAACAAACAGCUGGGAGGCGUCCUUCCGCCCAAACCGUGAAGAAAAUCCGCAAAGAUGACGCGGGUGGAUGGACGAUUGGACAAAGAGCAAAGUGAAAAUGUAAGGUUAAAGUAAACAAAACAAAGCUAUAAACAAAAUCAGAAAUAAAAGAAGCAAACAAAUAAAACCAACCUGCAACUAACGGGAUGGAUUGAUCCCUCAUUUUAAACCUACUGAGACCAUCAAAAGCAAGAGCCGCAGUUGAUUGUGACAUUAUUCGCGUUGGUACACAUACAAAUUCUCACAUAGACACUAGGCAGCAGCAGGAUAGUUUGAAAAUAUGAAGAUUUGAGUGUGUUUAAAAAAAUAAAAAAAAGUAACUACACACAACAGUUGGCAGGAUCGAUAAUGAUUUACUUAGCUGGUAAAACUAUUAUUCAGUGGAGAUUGCGAGCGCGAGGUUUAAUAUUAGUGGAUGCAGCGUAAGAAAACAUGUGAGAAAUGAUUAAUUAGUAAGGACAUGUGAGAAGUUACUGUAGUAGUAAACAAAGUAUAAGCAAAACAUACAAAACAUACAAAAAAAAAGCGGACAGAAGAAGUAAAAAAAACCUACAAAAUAGAUUUUGUGUAAGAAAAGUAACAAACUAUUGUAAAAAAUACAGGUGUAAAAAUACACAAACACACAGACACAUACACAAAUUUAAGAAGUAGAAAACACAAAAAGAGAGUUUAGAGUCAAACCAACUAAGAUGGCAGAUGCAAACCACCAACCAUUAAUUUCAAACAAUAGUUUCCGAAAGCGUGAGGAAACAGAACAGAACAAUCUAGCGGAGCAAAACGAAAGGAGAUCCUCUUAAAAAUAUUUAAAGAUAAAACAGAACGGUAUACUUCACUUCCAAGAGAAACAAAAAAAACAUCAACGUUAGACAUGGAAACGAGAAACUUUAUUGGUUAGAAAUUUAAAUGAGAAUAAAAAUAUAAAAAACCGAUAACAAUACAAAGCAAAACAAAAACAUGCGUGAGCUGAGAAUGACCUAUUUGGUAUAUUUUGGUCUAUCGAAAGCACCAUUUGGAGAUUGGGCUAUGUUCUGGUUUGGCAGGAUUCUUCGAGUGUUCGGCUAACGUUACCGUAAACUAUUAUUAGAGUUAUGAUCGAACCGAACUGGACCGUAUCCCGUUGAAUUUGAAUAACAUUAUCCCUUAUUUGGGUUUUCGGUAGCAAGUAUCAUCUAGUUGUUUGCAUAGAAACACAAUCAAGACAACAAAACAAAUGUAAACACUCAUACUUAUAUGUUGUAGAAGUAGGUACACAGUGGUAAAAAAUACAAACUAAAAUUUCAUCUUAUUUUGUUUUUAAACCGACGAUAACUGAUAAUUUUUGAGUUAUAUUUUAUUUUUCUCUGUGGGUAGAAGAACAGAAAUUCCUUUUAUUUUUAAAACUGUACGUAGGGAUCUUAUACAUAGCUAAGUGCAUACAAUAAGGCAAGCACCCAGAGCAAGAGCGAAUGUCAGGCAGGCACAUGUUGUGCGAAUGAGAGUGUGAGCGAGGCGCAAACGUUGUGCUAGUUGUGAUUUCGUCGACAUCCGCCUUCCAAAAAAGGCAAUCCCUUUUUUUCUGAAAAACAAAAAUCAAUCAAUAUUCUUUCAUUCUGAUAGGUAUUUUUUUCCGGGAUUUUCAUCCCUUCUGUUAAAUUAAUAUGUAUCCCUUAGAGAAGCUGAUCGAGAAAAUUUUUUAUUCAAAAAAUGCUUUAGAAUUUAAAGCGUUUAACAACCAAAAUCAACUCUAAACUUCAUGAUGACAUGAUCACCCUUUGUGAGUUUGUCAUUUUUAUUUGUUUAAUAUUUGCCUUUCCCGGCUUGGAAUACAUCAAAACCUGUGUACCGAAAAAUUUCUAGAAAAACACAGAUACCUUAUAUAUCUAUCAUAUGAGCUACAAAUUUUAAAGAUUGCCCAAUUCUCCAGUCUUAAUGGUUUUCAAGCUUGCAACAUCGACAACAAAUCAGUACGGAUAUAAAAAAAAAAAACAAAUCUACAACUAGCACAACAAUUUUCGUUUGUUUGUUUUUUUCUUUGUGUAGAAGUAUACUUUCAUUUAAAAUUAAAACAAAAAAUAAAAUGAACAAUCUCAAACAAAUAGCAUCCCAACA